rnacentral:rRNA from 1 species
GACAGAGGAGCCAAGCGUUGUUCGGAAUUACUGGGCUUAAAGCGCACGUAGGCGGGCGGGAAAGUGUCUUGUGAAAUCCCACGGCUCAACCGUGGAACCGCUGGGCAAACUUCCCGUCUUGAGGUCGGUAGAGGCGCCUGGAACCCUAGGUGGAGCGGUGAAAUGCGUAGAUAUCUAGGGGAACGCCGGAGGCGAAAGCGGGGCGCUGGGCCGGAUCUGACGCUGAGGUGCGAAAGCGUGGGGAGCAAACAGG